CUACGGGUUGCACCAGUCGGGAAUAUUGCGCAAUGGAGGAAACUCUGACGCAGUGACGCCGCGUAUAGGAAGAAGGUUUUCGGAUUGUAAACUAUUGUCGUUAGGGAAGAUAAAAGACAGUACCUAAGGAGGAAGCUCCAGCUAACUACGUGCCAGCAGCCGCGGUAAUACGUAGGGAGCAAGCGUUAUCCGGAUUUAUUGGGUGUAAAGGGUGCGUAGACGGGAAGACAAGUUAGUUGUGAAAUCCCUCGGCUUAACUGAGGAACUGCAACUAAAACUAUUUUUCUUGAGUGUUGGAGAGGAAAGUGGAAUUCCUAGUGUAGCGGUGAAAUGCGUAGAUAUUAGGAGGAACACCGGUGGCGAAGGCGACUUUCUGGACAAUAACUGACGUUGAGGCACGAAAGUGUGGGGAGCAAACAGGAUUAGAUACCCUUGUAGUC
rnacentral:rRNA from 1 species